UACGUAGGGUGCGAGCGUUGUCCGGAAUUAUUGGGCGUAAAGGGCUCGUAGGCGGUCUGUCGCGUCGGGGAGUGAAAACUCAGGGCUUAACCCUGAGCCUGCUUCCGAUACGGGCAGACUAGAGGUAUGCAGGGGGAGAACGAAUUCCUGGUGUAGCGGUGGAAUGCGCAGAUAUCAGGAGGAACACCGGUGGCGAAGGCGGUUCUCUGGGCAUUACCUGACGCUGAGGAGCGAAAGUGUGGGGAGCGAACAGG
rnacentral:rRNA from 1 species